GCUGUGUGUGUGGGCAUGUGGGGUGUGUGGUAAAAGGCUGUGUGUGUGGGCAUGUGGGGUGUGUGGUAGAAGGCUAUGUGGGGUGUGUGGUAGAAGGCUAUGUGUGUGGGGGGUGUGUGGUAGAAGGCUGUGUGUGUGGGGGGCUGUGUGUGGGGGUGUGGUAGAAGGUGGGGUGUGUGGUAGAAGGCUGUGUGUGGCAGAAGGCUGUGUGUGUGGGGGGUGUGGUAAAAGGCUGUGUGUGUGGGCAUGUGGGGUGUGUGGUAGAAGGCUAUGUGGGGUGUGUGGUAGAAGGCUAUGUGUGUGGGGGUGUGUGGUAAAAGGCUGUGUGUGUGGGCAUGUGGGGUGUGUGGUAGAAGGCUAUGUGUGUGUGGGGUGUGUGGUAG
rnacentral:lncRNA from 1 species